rnacentral:lncRNA from 1 species
AGCUGCUAGGCAUAGAUAUCAUGCUUUUUACAUUUUUCCUUUAAAGGAAAUACAAAUUAGCCAUUAGCACAAUGUGGCCUGUUCUCAAUUCUCUGCACGUUGAUGCUUGUUCCAGAGUGUAGCCUCCUUUGCUCUUCGGCAAUCCUGACAACAGACUUUGGUACACAUGGUGUCCACAAAGUCUCCUCAGGUGGGUCAGAAGGUCCCCAGAGCUGCCAACACUUUUCUUCAGGAAGAAACUUGUGCAAAAAUGUGGCCGCUACCCAGAGGGAUGUGACAGAUGGCAGAAUCACCGUGCCGAGCUCAGAUGGCUCACCCAGGUGGAGCGGUAUCAGGGAGCUGGAAGCAGAGCUCUGGAAAUUAUUCCUGGCCUGCAUCAGCCUCUCAUAUUGACAGCUCCACACUCUUCUGAUCUGUGAAUUUGGAGGUUGGAGAGCCCAGAUGCAUGCAUUUUUCCCCCAAGAGCAAAUUUUAGCUUUCCAAAGCCACCAUUUCUUUGUAGGAUAUUAUGUUUCCUGUAUUGUACAUUGUCUGUGAGAAUUCACUGAUGCCUAACUCAAUCUAAUUUUCUUACCUGAGUGUGACGUUGACAUACAAAUAGCAACCCCAGAACAACCUCUAACCAGCUUACUUUGGGGGCUCUUCAACAGCCAUGCGACAGCCAAAGCCAAGAAAGCACAUGGAAUGGAGUGUGUGGAAUGUGGCCUGAUAUUGCAGUUAAGGUUUUGCAACAGGCCUGAAGGAGAAGUACCAAAUAAGGAGUGGUCAGAAACCUCAGUUUAGUUAGACAGAAUGAACACCUAUAGGAUAAAUUUUUUUGUGGUUCUUCCGUCCUCCCAAGAGCCACAGGGGAAUGCAGGGCAGGCAGCUUUACUCUUAGAUGCCAUCACUGGCUGGGAAAGCUUUACCAGGGAGAGGGUAAAACUCCACAUCUGAACUUCACCUUCAAAAAACUGAAAUAGUAGCAGAUUCCAACCCCUUUAUCUUCAUAGGAUUAAGUAGAUUAAUUUAGCCUCUGUGCAAGUUGCUAGAUUGAAGAU